rnacentral:rRNA from 1 species
UACGUAGGGGGCAAGCGUUGUCCGGAAUUAUUGGGCGUAAAGCGCGUGUAGGCGGCCCGGUAAGUCCGCUGUGAAAGUCGGGGGCUCAACCCUCGGAUGCCGGUGGAUACUGUCGGGCUCGAGUACGGAAGAGGCGAGUGGAAUUCCCGGUGUAGCGGUGAAAUGCGCAGAUAUCGGGAGGAACACCAGUGGCGAAGGCGGCUCUCUGGGCUCUACCUGACGCUGAGACGCGAAAGCGUGGGGAGCGAACCGG